rnacentral:rRNA from 1 species
AAAGAGCUCGUAGGCGGUUUGUCGCGUCUGCUGUGAAAAUCCGAGGCUCAACCUCGGACCUGCAGUGGGUACGGGCAAACUAGAGUGCGGUAGGGGAGAUGGGAAUUCCUGGUGUAGCGGUGGAAUGCGCAGAUAUCAGGAGGAACACCGAUGGCGAAGGCACAUCUCUGGGCCGUAACUGACGCUGAGGAGCGAAAGCGUGGGGAGCGAACAGGAUUAGAUACCCCUGU